rnacentral:rRNA from 1 species
CAGCAGCCGCGGUAAUACGAAGGGGGCUAGCGUUGUUCGGAUUUACUGGGCGUAAAGGGCGCGUAGGCGGACUGAUAAGUCAGGGGUGAAAUCCCAAGGCUCAACCUUGGAACUGCCUUUGAUACUGUUUGUCUUGAGUUCGAGAGAGGUAAGUGGAACUGCGAGUGUAGAGGUGAAAUUCGUAGAUAUUCGCAAGAACACCAGUGGCGAAGGCGGCUUACUGGCUCGAUACUGACGCUGAGGCGCGAAAGCGUGGGGAGCAAACAGGAUUAGAUACCCCCGUAGUCCCUGUCUCUUAUAC